ensembl:snRNA U6 U6 spliceosomal RNA
UCGCUUUGGCAGCACAUAUACUAAAAUUGGAAAAAUACGUGUGAUCCUUGUGCAGAGGUUAGCAUAGCUCCUGCCCAAGGAUGACAUGCAAAUUCAAGAAGCGGUUCAUAUUUUA